GAUUUCUUCACUUGAAUGCACUCACUCCCUUGAACUUCUCUCUCUUGCUUCUCUCUUGAAUGAUCUAGCUUUGGGUUGGUGAAGAGUUGUUGAGAAGCACUUAAGAGGUCCCUUUUAUAGCCCAAAAAGCAAAUAUAGCCGUUAGAGAUAAAGUAAAAGAGAUUUGAAAUUCAAACCAAACCUGCAAAAGUUGUCAGUCGCGUCCCAGGCGCUCCGGAGACGUCUCCGCUUCAACGCGAGACGUCUCGGCUGUAUAAAUUUACUUUUCACUUUGUUUGGGGUCGACUCGGCACUUUACGGGGACGACUCUGGAAUUGUAUCGUUUGAAUCCUUGUUUUUCUGUUUUUCUGAGAGGGUCGUCUCUGUACUUUACGGGGACGUCUCGGCUUGUUUGCACUUUUUGCAUGGGGACGACUCCGCUGCCUUGGGGACGACUCCGCUGUUAUAACUCCAAAAAACAUGU
rnacentral:lncRNA from 1 species